rnacentral:rRNA from 1 species
AGAGUUUGAUCCUGGCUCAGAACGAACGCUGGCGGCGCGCCUAAUACAUGCAAGUCGAGCGAGAAGGUGUAGCAAUACACUUGUAAAGCGGCGAACGGGUGAGGAAUACAUGGGUAAUCUACCAUCGAGUGGGGAAUAACCAACCGAAAGGUUGGCUAAUACCGCGUACGCCUCCGGAUCUUCGGGUUCGGAGGGAAAGCUGCACUGUGAGUGUAGCGCUCUUUGAUGAGCUCAUGUCCUAUCAGCUUGUUGGUAGGGUAACGGCCUACCAAGGCUUUGACGGGUAGCUGGUCUGAGAGGACGAUCAGCCACACUGGCACUGCGACACGGGCCAGACUCCUACGGGAGGCAGCAGUAAGGAAUAUUGCGCAAUGGGCGAAAGCCUGACGCAGCGACGCCGCGUGGGGGAUGAAGGUCUUCGGAUUGUAAACCCCUUUCGGGAGGGAAGAUGGAACGAGCAAUCGUUCGGACGGUACCUCCAGAAGCAGCCACGGCCAACUUCGUGCCAGCAGCCGCGGUAAUACGAAGGUGGCAAGCGUUGUUCGGAUUCACUGGGCGUACAGGGUGUGUAGGCGGUUUGGUAAGCCUUCUGUUAAAGCUUCGGGCCCAACCCGGAAAGCGCAGAGGGUACUGCCAGGCUAGAGGGUGGGAGAGGAGCGCGGAAUUCCCGGUGUAGCGGUGAAAUGCGUAGAGAUCGGGAGGAAGGCCGGUGGCGAAGGCGGCGCUCUGGAACACACCUGACGCUGAGACACGAAAGCGUGGGGAGCAAACAGGAUUAGAUACCCUGGUAGUCCACGCCCU